ensembl:lncRNA
UCUCUACUGAAUCUUAUUUUUUUUUUUUUUUUUGAAUAGGUACAUUGAAACAAACUGAUUCACUAGAAUGAAUCUGACUUUUGAAGGCUACAAAUGCAAGAGAAUAGUUUAGGAAAGUUUGUUUGAAUAUUGAUUCUUAUAUGAUUGACUCUUACAUGAAAUACAGGUUUUGAUUCAUUUUGAUGUUAAUGGUUGGAAACAGUAGCUUGUUACUGGAAAAGCUUGUCUGUUUUGAAAGCAGCAUCAACAGUCAUGCCAAAAUAGUUAAGUUAGUAGUGUUUUUACUGUUUUGUUUUUACUUUACCUGUCAGAUAAUUUGGUUAAUGUAGGCAGUUUGAAAAGUGCAAAAUGUACCUUUAAGUGCGUCUGCAAAAGCACAAAACCACCAUUUUUUCAGUCCAGGGUUUUUUUUUUUUUUCAGUCAAAGUCCAGAAAAGUUUACACAAUGUCCUGCCUUACAAGAUGUCCAGUAUUUUUUUUUUUUUCUUGUCUUGCAUGUCAGACACUCAAAACUAUGUUUCACCUUCCCACCUUACAAACAACGCGAGCAUGUCCACCCCAUCGCCAGCUUAACCUGACACGCAUCUGUGCCGGUUUUUUCUUUUCUUUUUCCCCCGCUUGCUUUUUCUGGUUUGGUUUUGUUUUAAUCAGAUGGAGGGUCUCUACUGACGAUGUCACGUCUGGGCUCACACACGCACGCACGCUCAGAAGGACAGUGGGCUGUCCGGUGUAGCAUCAUUAGCUCAGCGGAGACGUGGCGGCCCUGACACAUGUCGAGCGGCGUGCAGCCAACCCACGGACGAGCACGAGUCGCUCCUGCAUAAUUUGAAGUCAUCCAUGGCAGUGCUUUGAGAAUCCUUCCCCGCGUUCCCCAUGACUUGAACGGAGCAUCGCUCAGCGCCGUGAUGGCUCUAUUCAUACUCAGACAGAAGCCCUGCUGGCCUGAGGGUCACAUGAGGACCUCUCCAUGACCCCUGACCACAGUUUGAACCAAGACCCUACAGUUCAUCCAUAUCUGCGGCUGUAGAGAAGGUCACUGCAGAGUUCAAAGACAUAACACGCAGAAUGAGGUGUAAAGAGAGACGGACUGGGAAGGACUGAUUGGAGAAGAAAGAGUGUGGGAGGAACAGAAAAAGAGAGAGAUUCAAUGUCCUCCAGGUGCCACUACUCGCAUGAUUUCAUCUCAGGGCCAUAAUCAACCCCCUUAAUGAAAUACGUAAUUAACAUAUUAUAAUUGUGAUUUCUUCCUCUGCCUGCCAUCGUGUGCGUGUGUGAGACUGAAAGUGUGUGCCUGUGUGCUUGUGUGAGCGGAUGUGUGUGUGUGGUCAGAUCCUGAUGGAUGGACGUUCUGGUGAAGUCUCUGUCUCAAACAUGGCUGUCAGAGUGAGCUGGGACAGACUGCAGCAGAUGGCAGAGAGAGGCAGGAGACUGGGAGAGUUACAGCAGGUCUGCCCUGCUCCACGUGGGAGGUGGAGAGCAGAGAGGAAAAAGGAUUUUAAAGUUUGGG